CAAUCGAAAGGAUUCAAAUCAAUAAUUUUUAACGGCUGAAAAUAAAAAUCCUAUAAAAAGUGAUGAUAUAGCACUAAAAUUUUCGAUCAGAAAUAUAGAUCUUGUUGUAGAUAGUAUAAAGAAUUUUCUCUCAAAAUUUUACUUGAUUUGAAUACUUCUACACCGUUAACUUGAAAACGGCCAGAUAUCAACCAUUAAAAAUUAUGGAUUUUGAAUCCUUUCGAUCACUAGGUAAAUGAUAUCGAAAAAUCGCAAAAAUUAUUUUCUAGAAACUUCAAAUGCGCUAGAUCAAGUCUAACGAGCCGAUCGUCGAUUCGAAAAUUCCAUCAUCGAAAACGGCUCAAGAGC
rnacentral:lncRNA from 1 species